GCCGGGCAUGGUGGCUUGAGCCUACAGUCCCAGCUACUCGGGGAGGCUGAGGCGGGAGGAUCGCUGGAGACCAGGAGUUCCGGGAUGUGGUGUGCUGUACUGACUCAGUGCCCCAGCAGGUUCAGCACCAAUAUGGUGACCUCUCGGGAGUGGGGGACCACCAGGUUGCCAAAGGAAGGAUGAAUUGGCCCAGGUGGGAAACGAUGCAGGUCAAAACACUUGUGCUGAGCAGUUGUAGGAACGCACCUAAGAAUCUGCACUCUUGCCUGGGCAGCAUAGCAAGACCCUGUCUAU
rnacentral:SRP_RNA from 1 species